GUGAGGAAUAUUGCGCAAUGGAGGCAACUCUGACGCAGCCAUGCCGCGUGCAGGAAGAAGGCGCUACGCGUUGUAAACUGCUUUUAACCGGGAAGAAACCCCAGGACGUGUCCUGGGUUGACGGUACCGGAGGAGUAAGCACCGGCUAACUUCGUGCCAGCAGCCGCGGUAAUACGAAGGGUGCAAGCGUUAUCCGGAUUCAUUGGGUUUAAAGGGUGCGUAGGCGGAGCGUUAAGUCAGUGGUGAAAUCCUGCAGCUUAACUGUAGACUUGCCAUUGAUACUGGCGCUCUUGAGUGCGCUUGAAGUGGGCGGAAUGUGCCGUGUAGCGGUGAAAUGCUUAGAUAUGGCACAGAACACCAAUUGCGAAGGCAGCUCACUAAGGCGAUACUGACGCUGAGGCACGAAAGCGUGGGGAUCGAACAGGAUUAGAUACCCUGGUAGUCC
rnacentral:rRNA from 1 species